rnacentral:rRNA from 1 species
AUUGAACGCUGGCGGCAUGCCUUACACAUGCAAGUCGAACGGCAGCGCGGGAGCAAUCCUGGCGGCGAGUGGCGAACGGGUGAGUAAUAUAUCGGAACGUGCCCAGUAGUGGGGGAUAGCCCGGCGAAAGCCGGAUUAAUAACGCAUAGGACUUACGGGUGAAAGGGGGGGAUCGCAAGACCUCUCGCUAUUGGAGCGGCCGAUAUCAGAUUAGGUAGUUGGUGGGGGAAAGGCCCACCAAGCCUACGAUCUGUAGUUGGUCUGAGAGGACGACCAGCCACACUGGGACUGAGACACGGCCCAGACUCCUACGGGAGGCAGCAGUGGGGAAUUUUGGACAAUGGGGGCAACCCUGAUCCAGCAAUGCCGCGUGCAGGAAGAAGGCCUUCGGGUUGUAAACCGCUUUUGUCAGGGAAGAAACGAGUUUCUCUAAUACAGAGACUUAAUGACGGUACCUGAAGAAUAAGCACCGGCUAACUACGUGCCAGCCGCCGCAGUAAGAC